UACAAUGACUCUCGGCAACGGAUAUCUYGGCUCUUGCAUCGAUGAAGAARGUAGCGAAAUKCGAUACUUGGUGUGAAUUGCAGAAUCCCGUGAACCAUUGAGUCUUUGAACGCAAGUUGCGCCCGAAGCCAUUAGGCCGAGGGCACGUCUGCCUGGGUGUCACA
rnacentral:rRNA from 1 species